UACAACAGGAAAAAUUAGAAGUUAUGCACGUUAUGUGAUUGGUUGUAAUUAGAAUGUUAAUUUGCAAGAAAUUGAAGUUAGAUUGGUACCUUGAAAGCGCUCUUGAUUUUUAUUUCUUUACGUUGGUCAUUAUAAACUAUUUGUUACGAUGGGGAAAAAGUUUAUAUACAGUACAACUAUAUAUUAUUUUAAAUUUAAAAUUUCCAGUAAUUUCAGAAAUAUUUUUAAUAAAUUAUUAUUAUUUUUGUUUACAUCAAUGUGAACAUGGAAAAACUCUGUAGCAAAGUGCUAUUUUGGACAAAAUUCAAUG
rnacentral:lncRNA from 1 species